CGGACUCUGCCGGGUCGAAAGUACCGAAGAUACCCAGACAAGGUCAAACCUCACUUAUGGCCAAAGGCUAUCAAUUUAUUCCUUAUCACUUAUCCGAUGUUUUGACUGAACGAUCAAUGCAAUUAGAAGGGGGUGAAGUGAAACAGUGGUCAUGUUUUUUUUGGCGUUGUAAUUGUGUUUAAGCCGAGGCUUCAUACUCGUAGACAACAUGCAUAAGCUCAUCAUUGUUUUACUGGUCCCCGUGCUUCUAGCCUUUGUCUUUGCUCAGCAGAACCCGUUCCUCGGGUUCAACUCCCCGGGGGUGGGUCCUGUCAACAGGAACCCUGGCUCCGUCAGCUAUGGACAAUACGUACAGAAUGAUGUCAAUCCGUACGCCUUGGAGGAGGACGAGGAUCCUUACAGCAAACUUAACGGCGUCCUCUUACUGCUUUCCGGUCUGACACUGAGCUGGAUCCUUUUCUUCAAUGGUACCGGAAACAUGAUAUCUACGUCCGGAUAAGAUGGCUGUCCGCUCCAUACAGGUAUUACCGAUGGGUCGUUGCUUCCUGUACAGCUAUAUGUAUACCUUUACAAGUAACUCGGGAUCUGACCAGUACGAUGACCACAAACUGACCAACAUCUGACCGGAUAAUCUACAUAACACUACCGACAUUUCAAGUCAAUACACUCGUCCUCCAAACUUUCUAUACUUUUAAGCCUUAACGAGAUAUACUUGUUGUUUGAAAUUUGUUUCCAUCGUAAUUGUUUUCACAUAUUUUCUAAAAGGAAAUACAAUUUCCUAAUAAAGACUAUUUAUGGUA